rnacentral:rRNA from 1 species
GACGAACGCUGGCGGAAUGCUUUACACAUGCAAGUCGAACGGCAGCACGGACUUCGGUCUGGUGGCGAGUGGCGAACGGGUGAGUAAUGUAUCGGAACGUGCCCAGUCGUGGGGGAUAACGUAGUGAAAAUUACGCUAAUACCGCAUACGAUCUAUGAAUGAAAGCGGGGGAUCGCAGCACCUCGCGCGCUUGGAGCGGCCGAUAUCAGAUUAGGUAGUUGGUGGGGUAAAGGCCCACCAAGCCAACGAUCUGUAGCUGGUCUGAGAGGACGACCAGCCACACUGGAACUGAGACACGGUCCAGACUCCUACGGGAGGCAGCAGUGGGGAAUUUUGGACAAUGGGCGAAAGCCUGAUCCAGCCAUUCCGCGUGCAGGAUGAAGGCCCUCGGGUUGUAAACUGCUUUUGUACAGAACGAAGAGGUUUCUACUAAUACUAGGAGCUCAUGACGGUACUGUAAGAAUAAGCACCGGCUAACUACGUGCCAGCCGCCGCGGUAAGAC